UACGUAGGGCGCAAGCGUUGUCCGGAAUUAUUGGGCGUAAAGAGCUCGUAGGCGGUCUGUCGCGUCGGCUGUGAAAACCCGGGGCUCAACCCCGGGCCUGCAGUCGAUACGGGCAGACUAGAGUGUGGUAGGGGAGACUGGAAUUCCUGGUGUAGCGGUGGAAUGCGCAGAUAUCAGGAGGAACACCUGUGGCGAAAGCGGCGCACUGGACCAUAACUGACGCUGAUGCGCGAAAGCUAGGGGAGCAAACAGG
rnacentral:rRNA from 1 species